rnacentral:rRNA from 1 species
UACGUAGGUGGCAAGCGUUGUCCGGAAUUACUGGGCGUAAAGCGUAUGCAGGCGGACCUUUAAGUAGGCAGUGAAAGGUUGGAGCUCAACUCUAACACGGCUAUCUAUACUGGGGGUCUUGAGGCUCGGAGAGGAAGAGGGAACGACACGUGUAGCGGUGAAAUGCGUUGAGAUGUGUCGGAACACCAAUGGCGAAAGCACUCUUCUGGACGGGACCUGACGCUGAGAUACGAAAGCCAAGGGAGCAAACAGG